rnacentral:rRNA from 1 species
UACAGAGACUGCAAGCGUUGUUCGGAAUUACUGGGCGUAAAGGGUUCGUAGGUGGCUUGUUAAGUCAGACGUGAAAUCCCUCGGCUCAACCGGGGAACUGCGUCUGAGACUGAUGAGCUCGAGUGCAGGAGAGGAACGCGGAAUUCCAGGUGUAGCGGUGAAAUGCGUAGAUAUCCUGAGGAACACCGGUGGCGAAAGCGGCGCGCUGGAUCCCUUCUGACGCUGAGGCGCGAAAGCCAGGGGAGCAAACGGG